rnacentral:rRNA from 1 species
AGAGUUUGAUCAUGGCUCAGGACGAACGCUGGCGGCGUGCCUAAUACAUGCAAGUCGAACGCUUCUUUCCUCCCGAGUGCUUGCACUCAAUUGGAAAGAGGAGUGGCGGACGGGUGAGUAACACGUGGGUAACCUACCCAUCAGAGGGGGAUAACACUUGGAAACAGGUGCUAAUACCGCAUAACAGUUUAUGCCGCAUGGCAUAAGAGUGAAAGGCGCUUUCGGGUGUCGCUGAUGGAUGGACCCGCGGUGCAUUAGCUAGUUGGUGAGGUAACGGCUCACCAAGGCCACGAUGCAUAGCCGACCUGAGAGGGUGAUCGGCCACACUGGGACUGAGACACGGCCCAGACUCCUACGGGAGGCAGCAGUAGGGAAUCUUCGGCAAUGGACGAAAGUCUGACCGAGCAACGCCGCGUGAGUGAAGAAGGUUUUCGGAUCGUAAAACUCUGUUGUUAGAGAAGAACAAGGACGUUAGUAACUGAACGUCCCCUGACGGUAUCUAACCAGAAAGCCACGGCUAACUACGUGCCAGCAGCCGCGGUAAUAC